ACUUGCACUUCUGAUAGUAUGGGUCCCAGCUGGAAAUGGAGUAAGGUCGCAGCAAGGUUAGUCUUUCUCAGCCUUGGCCCUGCUGUUCUUGACUUUUGGGGAUCCCCUCAUAGCUGAGGUGUUACCUUGCUGUCAUGUCCCUGUGACCCUCACUGUCUGUUAGUCACCAACCACAGUGUCAGGGUCACUGUGCCUCAUUGAACUCUGUGGGCUGGGGGUUGGGAGUGGGGCACCAAGGCAGCCCAUGGGAAGGGGCCCUGUAGGCUUUCAUCUUCCCGCAAAGGGAGACAAGGCAAUUUCUAUUCCGGGGAUGUUCUUUACAAUAAAUCUGAGUCUGGUUUUGAGAGA
rnacentral:lncRNA from 1 species